CUACGGGUUGCAGCAGUAGGGAAUCUUAGACAAUGGGGGAAACCCUGAUCUAGCCAUGCCGCGUGAGUGAUGAAGGCCUUAGGGUUGUAAAGCUCUUUCGCUGGGGAAGAUAAUGACGGUACCCAGUAAAGAAACCCCGGCUAACUCCGUGCCAGCAGCCGCGGUAAUACGGAGGGGGUUAGCGUUGUUCGGAAUUACUGGGCGUAAAGCGCGCGUAGGCGGGCUAUUAAGUCAGGGGUGAAAUCCCGGGGCUCAACCCCGGAACUGCCUGUGAUACUGGUAGUCUUGAGUUCGAGAGAGGUGUGUGGAAUUCCGAGUGUAGAGGUGAAAUUCGUAGAUAUUCGGAGGAACAUCAGUGGCGAAGGCGACUCACUGGCUCGAUACUGACGCUGAGGUGCGAAAGUGUGGGGAGCAAACAGGAUUAGAUACCCCAGUAGUC
rnacentral:rRNA from 1 species